GUAAAUAUAGUUUAUUAAAACACUAGACUGUGACUCUAGAAAUAGAAGCUAUUGACUUCUUAUUUACC
rnacentral:tRNA from 1 species